rnacentral:lncRNA from 1 species
CUGGAACAAAGUGUUAAUUUAGAUGUAAUAAUAGAAAAAUUGUAAUAUAUAUUGAUACAUGUCAUGUCUUAGGUAGCUAAAACUUCUAUAUUAUGGACAUUUCAGCAUCCCGGAGGUCACACCUAUUAAAUAUUACCUAUUCAAUAUUAUCUUAACAAACUAAAUAAUAAAGUUAUUAAUUUGAUAAUUUUAUUUAAAUGUAUCAUUAAAGUACAAUAAAUCUUUAGCAUGUGUUUUUAAAAAGCACAGAUCUGUGUAAUUUAACAUGUUUCAUUCCAUUAAAAGCACUUAAAAAUAGCCAGUGUUCAAAAAAAUUAAAAAGCCACUGUUCAAUGGUAUCUUAAACCUUUAAUAACCAUUUUUUUUUUCCUUACACUAAAGUUUUUAUCCUAGUAUGGGGGUUAAAGGAAGUUUACAAUUAAAAUAUUGAUCAAUACAAGAAAAUUUUCAAUAAAGUCUAAAUAAAACAUUGCCAUGUUAAAAUUAAGCUGUGCUUUUUCUAUUGUAACAUCCCUUCUGCACAGACACCUUGACAAGCUUUACUGAACCUACUCAGUGCUUCUCAAGCCAGACCCCAUGAAGGGUCCCAGGCUUUAGCUGGACAGGCACUCCCUGAAAGUUCUGGAGAACAGCGUGAUUGUUGUAGUAACAAGGGAAAAAGGAAGAUUCUGGGCAACCCAGACACAAACUUUCCAAUUUGUUUCCCAGACUGUACUAGGAAGGGUUCAAUUUACUGCUUUAUGCUUCAGUUUUAUAUGCAUAGUGAGCUCACAUUUCUUAGAGGAAAGAGACAGGACAACUCCUGGUACCCUACUUAGCAUUUCAGUUUAUUCCUCAGCAUGGUGGUUCUGUGGGGUGCAGUUAAUAUGAAUAGUCAUAUAAAGUCUCUUUGGGGAAUAUUAAUAUAAUCCUUAUUCCAUUAGAGUUAUCAUGGCCUUUUAAGGAAAAUUACCCAAUAAAUAAAAAAAUAAAAGUCUACUCAUACAAGGAUGAAGAUCACCACUUGGGAAGUAAAAUGGUCUGUCAGCCAAUAAUAAUGAAGUCAACAGUAACUAUAUAAUUACCAGAAUAUUUAUUAUAAUGUUUGAUUUUUUUCUCUUUUAUUUCUUAAUUUAGGACUGAAUAUUACAAAAAGUUUCUCUGGUCUCAAACACCUUAUUUGGGUUCCACAUAAUCAAAGUCAUUUAUUUUGCUAAAUCAUCAAGCAAUGAACCCACUCCAUGCCACACUAUGUUAGAUAGUGAGAACAAACUGUUGAGUGAUAUAUGGCUGUUUUUUUCAUGGUGAAAUAUUACUUUUAAAUUAAAAAUUCACACUUUUGCAGGUUGAGAUUGAUAGUAAUCAAAUGCCAACCACCAGAGGUCCACAAGGAAGACACAACUACACAUUAGAGUAGAUCCAGGCAGCCCUCAAGACAGAAAUUAAAUUUUUUUGAAAAAUAGGUUAGGGAGAAAGAAUGUGCAGAACUUGAUGUGCAUACAGAGGGAAGGUUUGAAGUCUGGAUGAUUGAGAAGCUAGCAAUGCUGUUUCUUUUCUUUUUUUUUAAGAGAGAGAGAGAGAG